GAUGAAGAACGUAGCGAAAUGCGAUAAGUAAUGUGAAUUGCAGAAUUCAGUGAAUCAUCGAAUCUUUGAACGCACAUUGCGCCCCCUGGUAUUCCGGGGGGCAUGCCUGUUCGAGCGUCAUUACAACCCUCAAGCUCUGCUUGGUAUUGGGCCCCGCCAGUUCUGGCGGGCCCUAAAGUCAGUGGCGGUGCCUUCCGGCUCCGAGCGUAGUAAUUCUUCUCGCUCUGGAGACCCGGUUGUGUGCUUGCCAACAACCCCCAAUUUUUUAAGGUUGACCUCGGAUCAGGUAGGGAUACCCGCUGAACUUAAGCAUAUCAAUAAGCGGAAGA
rnacentral:misc_RNA from 1 species